GACGAACGCUGGCGGCGUGCCUAAUACAUGCAAGUGGGACGCAAGGGAACACACUGUGCUUGCACACCGUGUUUUCUUGAGUCGCGAACGGGUGAGUAACGCGUAGGUAACCUGCCUAUUAGCGGGGGAUAACUAUUGGAAACGAUAGCUAAUACCGCAUAAUAUUAAUUAUUGCAUGAUAAUUGAUUGAAAGAUGCAAGCGCAUCACUAGUAGAUGGACCUGCGUUGUAUUAGCUAGUUGGUAAGGUAAGAGCUUACCAAGGCGACGAUACAUAGCCGACCCGAGAGGGUGAUCGGCCACACUGGGACUGAGACACGGCCCAGACUCCUACGGGAGGCAGCAGUAGGGAAUCUUCGGCAAUGGACGAAAGUCUGACCGAGCAACGCCGCGUGAGUGAAGAAGGUUUUCGGAUCGUAAAGCUCUGUUGUAAGUCAAGAACGUGUGUGAGAGUGGAAAGUUCACACAGGACG
rnacentral:rRNA from 1 species